ACCGUACUCCUACGGGAGGCAGCAGUAGGGAAUCUUCGGCAAUGGACGGAAGUCUGACCGAGCAACGCCGCGUGAGUGAAGAAGGUUUUCGGAUCGUAAAGCUCUGUUGUAAGAGAAGAACGAGUGUGAGAGUGGAAAGUUCACACUGUGACGGUAUCUUACCAGAAAGGAACGGCUAACUACGUGCCAGCAGCCGCGGUAAUACGUAGGUCCCGAGCGUUGUCCGGAUUUAUUGGGCGUAAAGCGAGCGCAGGCGGUUAGAUAAGUCUGAAGUUAAAGGCUGUGGCUUAACCAUAGUACGCUUUGGAAACUGUUUAUCUUGAGUGCAAGAGGGGAGAGUGGAAUUCCAUGUGUAGCGGUGAAAUGCGUAGAUAUAUGGAGGACCACCGGCGUCGAAAGCGGCUCUCUGGCUUGUAACUGACGCUGAGGCUCGAAAGCGUGGGGAGCAAACAGGAUUAGAAACCCGGGUAGUCCUUGAC
rnacentral:rRNA from 1 species